rnacentral:rRNA from 1 species
GAUGAACGCUGGCGGCGUGCCUAAUACAUGCAAGUCGAGCGAACGGACGAGAAACUUGCUUCUCUGAUGUUAGCGGCGGACGGGUGAGUAACACGUGGAUAACCUACCUAUAAGACUGGGAUAACUUCGGGAAACCGGAGCUAAUACCGGAUGAUAUUUUGAACCGCAUGGUUCAAAAGUUAAAGACGGGCUUGCGGUCACUUAUAGAUGGAUCCGCGCUGCAUUAGCUAGUUGGUAAGGUAACGGCUUACCAAGGCAACGAUGCAUAGCCGACCUGAGAGGGUGAUCGGCCACACUGGAACUGAGACACGGUCCAGACUCCUACGGGAGGCAGCAGUAGGGAAUCUUCCGCAAUGGGCGAAAGCCUGACGGAGCAACGCCGCGUGAGUGAUGAAGGUCUUCGGAUCGUAAAACUCUGUUAUUAGGGAAGAACAUAUGUGUAAGUAACUGUGCACAUCUUGACGGUACCUAAUCAGAAAGCCACGGCUAACUACGUG